UGUUUUAAGUCAAUGUUGAGAAAAAUUGAGCUUGAAAGUCUGGAAAAAUAAAAUAUGUACGUAAAUUGCAGCAACGUCUUUGCCAAGUUGACGCAACUUUUUUGAAAUAUGACUGAGCAUGCUCAGUAGGAGGCAACGUCCAAGAGGUCAGAAGAGCAAUGAAUCCACCGCAGCGCCAUUGCAAUCCACACCUCUUGUAACUUCGUUGUGAAUGGUGAUGCAGUGCAAAUUCUGUACAUUUUCACACCACAGCACAGAGACUCUUCUGAGACACCACAGAAUUCACCACGGUCAUAUGAGAACAACUGAGCAGCACAACAACCUGCUGGCAAAUAUCGACGGCAACAACAUUCUUUAUGGUGUGAAAGAAAAUGAUUCUGCGUGUGAAACUACCAGAAAACAGAGUGAAGAAGUUGCGAUUACCAGAGCUCCCCGACUCUGUGCAACGUUUAAAAGAAAUUCUCCAGGAAGAACUUCAGCUGAAAGAAAGAUUCCGUUUGCAGUAUGAGGAUCCAGAGUUCGGAAACGAACUAUGUGACUUAGAAGAUAUGUCAGAGCUCCCACCAGAGAAGGCAACGUUAAAAGUCAUUGAUGCUUCAAGCCCUGACCCAGAGGGAUCAGAUGUGUCAUUGUCUUCACUGGAUACUGCAUCACCUCCAAGCUCAUCUGAAUCCCCCAGAACAACUGUAAGAGCUGGUAGGCGGUCCUCUGCAUGGCCUUCUCCUUUUCCAAUACCAAGCUUCUCUUAUGAUGUUGAAUUGCGCCUUCAAAAGGCAAAUGGUAUCUACAACGACAAUGGUACUCUGCUCGACGUCACCAGAGACAUCAAGAGUGAAAUCCUUGAUAAAAUUGCACAAGCCGUGUUUGAGUUGACUGCAUAUCCAGACAGGUCAGAAAUAGAUUCUGUAGCAAUGGCUCUGGUCAACAAAUAUCCCUGUCUCCGUGAACCAGGCAGUGGAAAUGGGUGGAAUGGAUGGAGAAUGAGUAUUGCGUUCAAGAUUGGAAAUUACCGUCAAAAGCUGCGGAAUGCCGGCUGUGAAGAAGUUAAAGUAAAUGAAAGGAGGGGAAGCCGUGAAGAAGGUAGGCCCGGCUUAAAAAAAGCAAGG